rnacentral:rRNA from 1 species
GGAACGUUAUCGAUAAGAAGAGAGCGUCUAGGCGAACAAUGUUCUUAAAGUUUGACCUCAAAUCAGGUAGGAGUACCCGCUGAACUUAAGCAUAUCAAUAAGCGGAGGAAAAGAAACCAACCGGGAUUGCCUUAGUAACGGCGAGUGAAGCGGCAAAAGCUCAAAUUUGAAAUUCUGGUACCUUCGGUGCCCGAGUUGUAAUUUGGAGAGGGCAACUUUGGGGCCGUUCCUUGUCUAUGUUCCUUGGAACAGGACGUCAUAGAGGGUGAGAAUCCCGUGUGGCGAGGAGUGCGGUUCUUUGUAAAGUGCCUUCGAAGAGUCGAGUUGUUUGGGAAUGCAGCUCUAAGUGGGUGGUAAAUUCCAUCUAAAGCUAAAUAUUGGCGAGAGACCGAUAGCGAACAAGUACAGUGAUGGAAAGAUGAAAAGAACUUUGAAAAGAGAGUGAAAAAGUACGUGAAAUUGUUGAAAGGGAAGGGCAUUUGAUCAGACAUGGUGUUUUGUGCCCUCUGCUCCUUGUGGGUAGGGGAAUCUCGCAUUUCACUGGGCCAGCAUCAGUUUUGGUGGCAGGAUAAAUCCAUAGGAAUGUAGCUUGCCUCGGUAAGUAUUAUAGCCUGUGGGAAUACUGCCAGCUGGGACUGAGGACUGCGACGUAAGUCAAGGAUGCUGGCAUAAUGGUUAUAUGCCGCCCGUCUUGAAACACGGACCAAGGAGUCUAACGUCUAUGCGAGUGUUUGGGUGUAAAACCCAUACGCGUAAUGAAAGUGAACGUAGGUUGGGGCCUCGCAAGAGGUGCACAAUCGACCGAUCCUGAUGUCUUCGGAUGGAUUUGAGUAA